rnacentral:rRNA from 1 species
UGCGCAGGCGGCUCCGCAAGUCAGAUGUGAAAUCCCCGAGCUUAACUUGGGAAUGGCAUUUGAAACUACGGGGCUAGAGUGUGGCAGAGGGAGGUGGAAUUCCACGUGUAGCGGUGAAAUGCGUAGAGAUGUGGAGGAACACCGAUGGCGAAGGCAGCCUCCUGGGCCAACACUGACGCUCAUGCACGAAAGCGUGGGGAGCAAACAGGAUUAGAUACCCUGGUAGUCCACGCCCUAAACUAUGUCUACUAGUUGUUGGGGGAGUUAAAUCCCUUAGUAACGCAGCUAACGCGAGAAGUAGACCGCCUGGGGAGUACGGUCGCAAGAUUAAA